CAAUAGCGUAUAUUUAAGUUGUUGCAGUUAAAAAGCUCGUAGUUGGAUUUCGGAUGGGCUUGACCGGUCCGCCGUUUGGUGUGCACUGGUCGUGCCUAUCUUGCUGCCGGGGACGCGCUCCUGGCCUUAAUUGGCUGGGACGCGGAGUCGGCGAUGUUACUUUGAAAAAAUUAGAGUGUUCAAAGCAGGCCUAAGCUCUGAAUACAUUAGCAUGGAAUAACGCUAUAGGACUCUGGUCUUAUUGCGUUGGUCUUCGAGACCGGAGUAAUGAUUCAGAGGGACAGUUGGGGGCAUUCGUACUUCAUUGUCAGAGGUGAAAUUCUUGGAUUUAUGAAAGACGAACUUCUGCGAANGNAUUUGCNAAGGAUGUUUNCAUUA
rnacentral:rRNA from 1 species